rnacentral:rRNA from 1 species
UACGUAGGGGGCAAGCGUUGUCCGGAUUUAUUGGGCGUAAAGAGCGUGUAGGCGGCCUGACAGGUCUGCUGUGAAAACUCGAGGCUCAACCUCGAGAUGUCGGCGGAAACCGUCUGGCUAGAGUCCGGAAGAGGAGAGUGGAAUUCCCGGUGUAGCGGUGAAAUGCGCAGAUAUCGGGAAGAACACCUGUGGCGAAGGCGGCUCUCUGGGACGGUACUGACGCUGAGACGCGAAAGCGUGGGGAGCAAACAGG